AAGCGGUCCGUUAUGUCCAUCAGACAUGCGGGAAGCUUGCCAGGGAAACACAAUACCUUUGUAUUGGGAAAUUAACUGGC
ncrna:unclassified sequences Hairpin ribozyme 1 from viruses-like metatranscriptomes